GGGCAUAACUCCCAACCCCUGUGAACAUACCUAUUUGUUGCCUCGGCGGUGCCUGUUCCGACAGCCCGCCAGAGGACCCCAAACCCUGAUUACAUUUCUGAGUAAACCGAUUAAAUAAAUCAAAACUUUCAACAACGGAUCUCUUGGUUCUGGCAUCGAUGAAGAACGCAGCGAAAUGCGAUAAGUAAUGUGAAUUGCAGAAUUCAGUGAAUCAUCGAAUCUUUGAACGCACAUUGCGCCCGCUAGUAUUCUGGCGGGCAUGCCUGUCCGAGCGUCAUUUCAACCCUCAAGCCCCCGGGCUUGGUGUUGGGGAUCGGCGAGCCUCCGCGCCCGCCGUCCCCUAAAUCUAGUGGCGGUCUCGCUGUAGCUUCCUCUGCGUAGUAGCACACCUCGCACUGGGAAACAGCGCGGCCACGCCGUUAAACCCCCAACUUCUGAACGUUUGACCUCGGAUCAGGUAGGAAUACCCGCUGAACUUAAGCAUAUCAAUAAGCGGAGGAA
rnacentral:rRNA from 1 species